AGAUCCGGAACUCCCCUCGGCUACACCUUUCCCCGGGCUCUUCCCUCCGCUCCUCCCCGUGGCCCCCUCCCCUCUGGCGGCCACCGCAGAGCUCCGACUGACCCGUGUGCCUCGCUCUGCCAGGCUGCCUUCCUCUCUACCUGCCCCCUUCCAGAUCCGCAGUCCCCUGCUCUCCACGCGAGCCCCCUUCACAGUCCCUGCUACCUUGUAACUAACUUGCACUUUUCCCGAGUCCGGUUCUUAGCCUUUGCCCUGCAGCUCAGCUCCUUAAAGCUUUCAGAUCCCCAAACUUUUAUUGUAAUUAUGGACAAUAACUCCGUCCUUAACGCCUGUGCCCUCCGGGAUCCCGUGGCCCGCCGCCCCCUCCGUUGGACCUGGAGUCGCUCUCGUCUGCACCUCUCCCUUAGACCCACUUCCCUGAGCCCCUUGUCGAGAGGCUUUCAGGAAGCCAACCAGGAAGUGGGACUACCGCUGCUGCUGCAGCAGCUCCACGUGGCUGAUUUAUAGCUGAAGGGUUUUUUUUUUUCCUUCUUAUUGAUUGUUCUUGCUUUUUCACACGGCUCCUUAAGGUGGUGAAUUUGUAACCGAAAGGCCCAGGUGAGAUGUGCAAAUAUCACUGGAUUGGAGGAGCUCACUUGGAAAGCCAGUAUUCCUCCUGAGCUAAUGAAAAGAAAGGCUGUCGUCUUAUGCCAAAAGCAAUACCAACCUUGUUCACGGGCUGAGAUCUAGAGUGUGUAAUUCACGAAGUAUGAAUCUGCUGGGUAAUGUGAUAUGAAAAGCGAAUGCACCAUUUCUUGGUGAUGAUUCAGGUCAGCGUUGGGACCCAGGAAUCUCCUGUUAAUCAGUACCCUGGUGAUUUUGAUCCAGAGACGGGGUCUAUUAUCUGGUCCUGUUGUCAAGGCUGGUCUCAAACUCCUGGCCUCCAGCGAUCCUCCCUUUUUGGCCUCCCAAGAUGCUGGUAUUACAGGCAUGAGCCACCAUGGUCCACCCGGACUCCUUUUCAUAGGAGACAGUUCCCUAGGCAGAGACUGGGCUUGAAACAGUUCCUCUAAAGAAGAGGGUAGAGACUAGAACUGAAUGAGAUGGACAUAGAGAUGGCCAAGAAAAGCAUCGUCCUCUGCCAAGUCAUGGGGUCAUGUGUGGUGGAUGGUGACAUGGUGUCCUCAGCUCAGAGUCCAGCUGGGGGCUCAGAAGCAAGAUAAAAAUGUGUAUGAAGGUGGAGCCUUGUCUAUCUAGUUCGUUAUUGUUAUCCGUGUCUGGUAUGUGGAAAGGGCUCAGUGAGUAUUUCUUGAUGGAAUGCUGAAUGAAUAAUGGGAUUGAAAAUAUAAAAGGCAGACAAAACUUAGAAGAGGGGCCAGGUUUACUUCAAUUGCUAUUCCUCCUCACUGGGAGGUUUUUCUUCCAAGGACAAAACUUUGGAGGUUUUAUUAAAUUAGAAAAGUGAUUAUUUUACAUAUGGUCAUCAUCAUCAAUUGAUAGGCUGUUGUUUCCCCCUUACUCAGCAUCCUACUAAGGCUGCUUAGAACUAAGAAGAAAGGGUAAUUUUAAUUUAAGUUCAUAUUUUUGUAUGUACGGAGAUUUAAAAAAAACAGCUACAUUAAAAUGGGAAUAUGUAGCCAUAGGGAAUUAUUUGCAAACAAAUUUCAGUAUUAUCUAUGUGUGGUUGCCAAGAACUCAGGUUAAAUUAGAGUCAGUGACCUCUAAAUGACUAAAUAUCCUAUCACCUAUUCUAUAAGCCAUUUAAUCACCUCUUUUCAAAGAAGAAGAGCACAAUUGGUAGUAUCUUUAAAGGAAGAUACAUUUUAUUGUUUAGAAAAUAACUACUAUUUAGAUAUCAAGGGAAGCAUAGUGUAAGUUUGUUAAGAAUUUAUUAAUUUUGUGUACUGUUCAUUAGUUACCUCUUACUGCUUAACAAAUGACUCCAAAGUUUAGCACUUUCAAACAACAAACAUUUACUUCACACAGUUCCUGAAGUCAGGAAUCUAAGAGUGGCUUAACAAGGUGGUCUGGCUCAGGGUCUCUCAUGAGGUUCUUACCAAACUAUCAGCUGGGACCACUAUCAUAACCAACUGGGCCUGGAGAAUUUGCUGUCAAGUUCACCCACAUGGCCAGCAGGCAGGCCUCAGUUCCUCACUGGCAGGCGGUGGGAGGCUUCAGUUCCUUGUCACCUGGGCUUCUCCACAGGGCUACUCAUGACAUGCCAAGCUGACUUCCCCCCUUCAUGAAAGAUCUGAGGGAGAGAGAGCCCAAGGCAGAAUCCACAGUCUUGUAUAAGAAAUAAUCUGUAUACUGCCUUCAUCUGUAAAAUGAAGGUGUUGGACCAAAUGAUCUUUAACAUUCUUUCCAAUACUGAAAUUCUGAGAUUUUCCUAUGAUGCCGAUGUGUGAUUGAGACUAAUUUGUGCUUUCAUGUGGAAUACUAUGAGGUAAAAUCCUGCCUUUGUACUUUUUUUCUGACAUGGGGUACUAUUUCUAUCAUAAGCUUGAGAUGGAUAAUUCCUGAGUUGUGCUCAUCUGGAAUAAAGGACUGUUGUCAAGGGCUUCCAUUUAAUGAGGUUAAGGGUCUCCUACAGUGUUUGGAAAGCAAAAAUAUUUAUGUAAAAGCCCUCAGAUUUCACAUCGUAGAACACUACCUCUUCAUAAUUUGGUACUGUUUUUGGACUCCCAUAAUUCAGAAGUGCUCUUCUGAUCUAACCAUUUAUUUAAGAGGUGAUUGAAACGGAUUUUGUCUCUUACCACUCUUGUUUAAAACCUCUUCAACAGCUUCCCAUUGCUCUUAUAUUUAAGCCCAAAUUCCUCCAUUUAUUACAAAGCCUUUGUGAGCUUGCCUCUGCUUACCUCUGCAGCCCCAUGGCUGGUCAGUUAUCCCCUCUUUUGCAACUUAAACUAUAGCCAUGUUGAUUUUCUCUCCAUUUCUGAAAUAGGCUAACUUCCCUCUCACUUCUAGACCUUGUGUGUGUUAUUCUCUCGCUUAGAACACUCUGUGGUUCUUACACCAACCCCUCUCCCAUGAACUCCCUGAUAAUCCUUCAGAUUUCAAUUUAUACAUCAGUUCUUUCAGAAACCUCUAAUUGUCUUCAGUCCCCGAUCCCACUGCUAGGUUAGAAGACCCUCCUUCAUGCUCUCAAAGCACCCUGUAAGUUCUCCCUCAGAGCAUAUAGACCAAGUUUCUUUUCUUUUCUUUUCUUUUCUUUUCUUUUCUUUUUUUUUUUUAGACGUAGUCUUGCUCUGUUGCCAGGCUGGAGUGCAGUGGCCCCAUCUCAGCUCACUGCAACCUCUACCUCCCGGGUUCAAGCGAUUCUCCUGCCUCAGCCUCCCGAGUAGCUGGGACUAUAGGCAUGCGCCACCACCCAUCUAAUUUUUGUAUUUUCAGUGGAGAUGGUGUUUCACCGUGUUGGCCAGGAUGGUCUCAAUCUCUUGAACUCAUGAUCCGCCCGCCUUGGCCUCCCAAAGUGCUGGGAUUACAGGCAUGAGCCACCGCGCCUGGCCUAGACCAAGUUCCUUAAGGGCAAGGACCAUGUUCGAAUUUGGCAUUGUGUCUCUAGAUGUUGACCAUGCUUGGCACAGAAGAGAUGCUCAGUAUUAAGAGACUGAACAAGUGAAAAUAUAUUUCCUGUGUUCACUGUUAAGCGUGGGGAAAAAGGAGUUGCAUAAGUAAAAAUACUAAUUUAAAAGCCCUCAGAUUUCACAGUGUGGAACACCACCUCUUCAUAAUUUGGUACUGUUUUUGGACUUCUAUAAUUCGGUAGUCUUCUUAUUUAAGAAGCAUUCUUUAAUAGCUCUUAAAAUAUGAUAAUAUCUAAAUGAUUUGCAGAAGCAUUUUAUAGGUAGAUGGUUUUGCCUUUAUUUGGGUGUUGGGGAAGAAGGGUACAGUAUUCUACAUUUUACCUGACCAAAAAGAGUACUGUAAUUCCUAGAUAAUAAACUGAUAGCUAUUUGAAACUGCCUGUUGGCUCACUGAAGGGAAAAUGCAUUGCCCACAACCUCAUAUCUUUCAUGUGGGAACCCAGUACCUAUAAGACAAACUGGCCUCUCUCUGUUACUAUUGAUAAUCUCUUAGAGCAUAACUUCUAAAUAAUGGGUGGAAUGGAAAGGAACUCUGUCAGUGAAAGGGCUAGAGAACCUGCCCUGCUAUAUGCAGAUUAAGAGAUUUGGCUAGACUCAAAUUUCUAAUUUCCUUUAAAAUGCUCAAAUUUCUUAAAACUAGGGUAUGAAAUGCACUGAAGAAAGACUCAGGUUCUCAGCAGUGUGGUUAGUUAAAUGACCUGAAAGUCUUCAAAACUGGUAUUUAUCAAGGUAUUACUGUAAGUCGUCUUACAGUCUGUGCACAUAAACCUCUCCACCAGCAAGCAGACUAGUUUCAGACAGUUAUCAAUCUGUUAUCACAUCCUUCCAGAGAUCCUGAUUAUCUAGCUAUGCCUAGAACCUGACAUUCUUUAUUGUGGGAACCUAUAAGACAAACUAGCCUCUCUCUUGUUAAUACUGAUUAUCUCUUAGAGCAUAACUUAGACACAACAGGGGUGGAAUAGAAAGAAACUAUGUCAGUGAAAAGGCCAGAUAACCCAUGCUGCCAUAUGUAAAAUGAGAGGUUUGGCUAAACCACAUUGGGCAUAGCUGGAUAAGCAGGAUCCCUGGAGGUGUGUGAAGAUGUGUGGACAGGAGAAAAAAGUCGGAGAGGAGGGGACAUUCCUGUGCUUGACUAUCUUCUGAACGUUUUUUGAUUAAUUUGUAUAAAAUUGGGUUAUUUUAGUAAUGGAGUAUGUCUUCAAGCCUUUUUAGGCAUUUGAGACAUAAACAGUUACACACAAAUAAAGGAACUGAGGUUCAGACUACAGAGAGAUGAUGCGAGAGAUUCUCCCAAAUGAUCCAGGAAUUAAGAGGCUGGACAGGGACUAGAGAUCUGUUAAUUCCAAACCUUUUACUUCCCAACUAUGCCAUCUUGCUAAUGUCCAGAAAUUUCAUCCUUUCUUUAGUUUGUAACAACUGAACAAUGACAAGUACAUUUUCUCUUUUAUUUGAACAUGUGGCUCUGUAUUAAAUGACUAUUUGGAGAGCCACAACAGAGUUGUGAGCUAAGAGUGCUGAUCUUCAGGGGAGCUCAAAAUACUGCCAUUUAGGUAAAUGUACCUUUUAUCAUACUGCAAAGAGUUAUGAAAUUUGAAUUUUAAUUACAUUUCUUUUUUGGAGAGUGAUCUUUGAGGACUUGGUUUUGUGGGAUAACUUCUUUUUUCAAACCAUAUAAAAUUAUUUUUAACAAAUGGCAUCCUUUUGUAUAAUCUUUUCUUGUAUAUUUUUAGAUAUUUCUAUUCAACAUUUUUUGAGCUUGUGUCACGUGCUAUUCAUUGUUCUAGAUGCUGGAAAUACAGCAGUAAACUAAAAGCCAAAAUCCUUGUCCCCAUAGAGUCAGACAAUAAGCCAAAUAUGUAUAUUAUUACAUACUGUUAUUGAAUAAACUGCUGUAUCACCAUGUGCCAAGCCUUAUUCUAAGAGUAUACAAAGAUUAACUCAUUCAUUUAGAUAGCAUGUUAGAAGAUAAAUGCAAUGGAGAGAAAUAAGCCAGGGAAAUGGAAUGUGGAAUGCUGGAGAGGGGUGAGGGGAGGAUUCCAUUUUACACAGUCUGAGAAGAUAAUAUGUGAACAAGACCUGGAGAUGAGGGCACAGCCAAAUGGGUAUCUGAAGGGAGAUGGCUCCAAGCACAAGGAGCAGCAAAUGUGAGGCCUUGAGGCAAGAAUGUUCCUGCUUGUUUGAGGAAAAGCAAGGACAUAAGGACAGCUGUAGCUAAGAAAGUGAAGGGAGAGCAUUAGAUCAUAGUAAAGACUGUGGCACUUAUUUAGAGUGACAGGGGAAGCCAUCGGAGAGUUUGGUGCAGAGGUGGUGUCAUCUAACUUACAUCUAAAUAGGAUCACAGCCUCUGGCUUCUGGGUUUGGUUUGGAAAAGAAAAAGAUAAAAGCAAGUAUCAGUUAGGAGGCCAUUGUGAUAGCAUAGAGUAGGUUUGUAACAGUAGAGGUGGGUAGAAUAUGUCAGAAUGGGGAUAUAUUUUGAUUAUUCUUCAGCUAUUAUGAUUCCAACUAAUUAGGCUUGUUGUUUUGGUUCCUGGCUCUCUAUAAGUAGUUAAAUUAAUAACAUGUAAAGCAAACUCGAAAUGCUCUGGCAUCACACAUUAUUUAAAUAAACUGUGCAAGCGAUUAGUUGGCAUUUUGUUAAACAUCUUUGUUUAGAUUUUCAUGUAUCAAAUAAUAUAAUAUUUUCUUUUCCUUU
rnacentral:lncRNA from 1 species